GUGCAGGGCAGGGCAGGGCUGGGCAGGGGCAUGGCGGGCAGGGCUGGGCUCCCCUGC
rnacentral:miRNA from 1 species